CUAACAUCGAUUGUAUCGCCUGCCCAUUCAUCGCCUUCUUGUUACUGGUUCGGUCUAAGUCGAAGCGCGGAUGCUGAGCCAUUCACCUGGAUUGAUGAAACUCAAAUAAGUAACCCUAUCUGGGCUCCUGAUGAGCCGGGUACUUCUACCGUGCGAACCUGCGCGUGUUUGUGGUCUGAUGGAAAUGACGCGAACAGGCAUGGCCAAUGGGACAGUAGAUCUUGUAAUGACACACAGCCGUACAUUUGUGAAAGACCACAAGUACCAACUGGACAAUGGACAGAUAUUCCAGGAGUGCUUAACGUACAGUAUUACGUGUCAACCUUCUCAACAAACUAUUUCAACGCAUCGGAAUAUUGCCAACAAACAGGUGGACAGCUCGCGCAGUUAAAAACAUCAACU